rnacentral:tRNA from 1 species
GGGCUGGGGCUCAGCGGUGGAGCGCUCGCCUAGCAUGUGUGGGCGAGGCCCUGGGUUCGAUCCUCAGCACCACA